AGAACGAACGCUGGCGGCAGGCUUAACACAUGCAAGUCGAACGCGUGUAGCAAUACACGAGUGGCGCACGGGUGAGUAACGCGUGGAUAUCUGCCUUUUGGUUCGGAAUAACCCCGGGAAACUGGGGCUAAUACCGGAUGGUUCCUUCGGGAUAAAGAUUUAUCGCCAAAAGAUGAGUCCGCGUCCGAUUAGCUAGUUGGUGAGGUAAUGGCUCACCAAGGCGACGAUCGGUAGCUGGUCUGAGAGGACGAUCAGCCACACUGGGACUGAGACACGGCCCAGACUCCUACGGGAGGCAGCAGUGGGGAAUAUUGGACAAUGGGGGCAACCCUGAUCCAGCCAUGCCGCGUGAGUGAUGAAGGCCUUCGGGUUGUAAAGCUCUUUUGGCGGGACGAUGAUGACGGUACCCGCAGAAUAAGCCCGGCUAACUUCGUGCCAGCAGCCGC
rnacentral:rRNA from 1 species